UUCAUGGAGAGUUUGAUCCUGGCUCAGGACGAACGCUGGCGGCGUGCCUAAUACAUGCAAGUCGAGCGGACCGACGGGAGCUUGCUCCCUUAGGUCAGCGGCGGACGGGUGAGUAACACGUGGGUAACCUGCCUGUAAGACUGGGAUAACUCCGGGAAACCGGGGCUAAUACCGGAUGCUUGAUUGAACCGCAUGGUUCAAUCAUAAAAGGUGGCUUUUAGCUACCACUUACAGAUGGACCCGCGGCGCAUUAGCUAGUUGGUGAGGUAACGGCUCACCAAGGCGACGAUGCGUAGCCGACCUGAGAGGGUGAUCGGCCACACUGGGACUGAGACACGGCCCAGACUCCUACGGGAGGCAGCAGUAGG
rnacentral:rRNA from 1 species